rnacentral:lncRNA from 1 species
GGCUGGCAGGACAGGAAAUCAUAGAUUUGGACAUAUCUUGUAUUAUUAUAAUAUUCCAGGGUCUGGUUCUAAGCUUCUCAGUCUUUGCAAUCCUAUCGUAUUAGGGCACUUAAAGUUUAUUAAUAUCUCUGGAACUGACUACUAAAUUCACAAAAGGCUGGUGUAGAAACUAAAUUGCCACCUCAUUAAUUAGAACUGUAAAGGGAGCCAAAUACUCACUCCCUAAAAGGAAAUGGCCAUUGGCUGCCAAACUUUCAUUGGAAGUGUACUUGAGGAGCAUGGCAUUGCAGCAAAGGUAAUAGUUGGAUGAUCUGAGAAGCAGCUCUGUUUGACAGCUUGAUGUAUUUAUUUUCUGGGUCAGGGUACACCUGCCAAACUGACACAAAUACCCCUGCCAACAGGUCAGGAUAUACUCUUCUAAUCAAUGCAAAAGACACAUUAAUAAUGUGUCCACUCAUGGAUUUUCAUUUGUCUACACUUCUUAGAAACUACACUCAUUCUGUCAACACAAUCUUUCUUUAAACUGUUUAAAAUUGUUUAGAUUUUGGUAUAAUUACAGUUAUAUUCUAACCCAGCUUCAGAGUCUAUAUUCUUAUGAGAUCGAUUGGGCUCUAGCGUUCCCAAAUCUCUUUUACUUUCCCUGCUCCUAAUUAUUUAUAAUGCUUUUAUAGUUUCUCCAGCUCCAUCUGCAUGGAUCUUACUUCUAUGGCUGCUGACGUUACCACAACUCCUUUUACAAUUCCUACCAGCACAAUUUCUACCAGCUAACAGGUCAAGAGGAUUGGUUCCUUUUAAAGGAUGAAAGGAAAAAGGAGACAUGGCAAAUAAAAACCAUCAGAAUUGUAAGUAACCAAUUAAAGCUGAAUUCUGUCUUCUAAACAUACCCUGUUGUUAAAAUGCAUGUUUUGGGAAAUACUGAAUAGUUUGACGUCAGUCAAUGUUCUUCUCAGAGUUCAUAUGCGAAGAAGAGUUCAUUUUGUAUUAAAGCAAAUGCAGAAAACUAUCGUGGAGAGUGAUGUUCUCUGACCUGAGCGGUCUGUGCAGUCUAGAAAGGUCCCAUUGUGCAGUGUCUUGCAAUCUCAGCUUCAUCAGGUCCUGAAGUCUUGACCUGACGAAGGCUCUCUUCUG